CAGGAAAGGUGUGGUUUAUCAUUCUCUUCUAGGUUGUGAGUUCCUGAAGAAGCUAACUAGGCUGCCUCAAGUUGCUUAGUUGGUUCUACACCCUUACUCGGCGGUUACUGAGACAAAGCGCUUUCUUCUCUAACGUGGUUUCCCGAGGCAAUCUGAGACGGUUCUGCAAGAGGGCUGGAAUUUAACUGAAGAAUAUUGUGGCAAGCACUGAUGAGAUGGGAAGGCACAACAGUCAUGGGAAGGUCAAUGGUAGCUGCUUAAGAUUCAGCAAGUGUCAGUGAAUGUCUGUGGGUGUGAGCUUUUCAUCACGGAGGAAUUCAGUGAGAUACCUUUGCUUCCAGCACACUUUGAUGUCAGAUGCCAUUUUGUCAGACUGCUGCCAUCUGUUGCACAUCAACAAAACGCAAUGGAAUAUUGACUAUGGUAACACAAUACUCAAAACAACACAGUUGAUGAAACUAAAUACAUGUGGUGAUCUGGAUAAUAGAAGUCUGAAUCACUGUUGGAAAUGAUACGCAAGGGGAGUUUUGGAGAACACUGCCAAGCAAAAACUUAUCAAGGCUUUCCAUAUAAAGAGGAGCCCAAAAGAGUAAGAUGAAAUAUUGCUAUAUGAUACAUUGAGGAUGACAGAGUUUUAUGGUUCAUAUCAAGAAUAAGAAAAAUAUAACAGCAACUAAACAUAAAAAGCUGAUCUCAGAUGACUGGCUGCAGUUUUAAAUGAAACAUACUGAGACAUAUCAGUGCAAAAGAAUAGAUGGAUGGCAAGGCCGUUAAACUUCUAUCGUGAAUACGAAGUUGAAUUAAGUACUGUUCCUCAGUUUGAGUCCUACAAAAUGUUCUAUGUUGAUACAUUCAGAAUGUCAAACAUUUUCAAAUAAUA